AGUGAACGCUGGCGGUAGGCCUAACACAUGCAAGUCGAACGGCAGCACAGGAGAGCUUGCUCUCUGGGUGGCGAGUGGCGGACGGGUGAGGAAUACAUCGGAAUCUACUUUUUCGUGGGGGAUAACGUAGGGAAACUUACGCUAAUACCGCAUACGACCUACGGGUGAAAGCAGGGGACCUUCGGGCCUUGCGCGAUUGAAUGAGCCGAUGUCGGAUUAGCUAGUUGGCGGGGGAAAGGCCCACCAAGGCGACGAUCCGUAGCGGGUCUGAGAGGAUGAACAGCAAAGCUGGAACUGAGACACGGUCCAGACGCCUACGGGAGGAAGCAGUGGGGAAUAUUGGACAAUGGGCGCAAGCCUGAUCCAGCCAUACCGCGUGGGUGAAGAAGGCCUUCGGGUUGUAAAGCCCUUUUGUUGGGAAAGAAAUCCAGCUGGCUAAUACCCGGUUGGGAUGACGGUACCCAAAGAAUAAGCACCGGCUAACUUCGUGCCAGCCGCCGCCGUAA
rnacentral:rRNA from 1 species